rnacentral:rRNA from 1 species
UCGUCCCUACGGGGCGCAGCAGUGAGGAAUAUUGGUCAAUGGGCGGAAGCCUGAGCCAGCCACGUCGCGUGAGGGAAUAAGGCCCUACGGGUCGUAAACCUCUUUUGCCGGGGAGCAAGGGCCGGGACGCGUCCCGGCCCGGAGAGUACCCGGAGAAAAAGCAUCGGCUAACUCCGUGCCAGCAGCCGCGGUAAUACGGAGGAUGCGAGCGUUAUCCGGAUUUAUUGGGUUUAAAGGGUGCGUAGGCGGGCUUUUAAGUCAGCGGUAAAAAUUCGGGGCUCAACCCCGUCCGGCCGUUGAAACUG